rnacentral:lncRNA from 1 species
CGUGUGAGCCAAUCAUCACGGAUGGUGCGUGUGUUUUGCACCGCCCACGGUGCACAAAGGAUUUCUCUAUUCUUUUAUAGAACUUUGGCUUGUUUGUAGCCAAUCUUCAAAUUAGCUUUGGCCAGCUGAAACUGCAGCUCAAUAACCUCUGCUUCGUUUGCAGCUCUAUUAGGUAAGGUUAAACAAUGUGCAGGUAUCUUGUUCAUUGAUAUAGUGGGAAGUUCAUCCAUCAAAAACCGCCAAGAAGAAA